CCUACGGGAGGCAGCAGUGGGGAAUCUUGCACAAUGGAGGAAACUCUGAUGCAGCGAUGCCGCGUGAGUGAAGAAGGCCUUUGGGUUGUAAAGCUCUUUCGUCGGGGAAGAAAAUGACUGUACCCGAAUAAGAAGGUCCGGCUAACUUCGUGCCAGCAGCCGCGGUAAUACGAAGGGACCUAGCGUAGUUCGGAAUUACUGGGCUUAAAGAGUUCGUAGGUGGUUGAAAAAGUUGGUGGUGAAAUCCCAGAGCUUAACUCUGGAACUGCCAUCAAAACUUUUCAGCUAGAGUUUGAUAGAGGAAAGCAGAAUUUCUAGUGUAGAGGUGAAAUUCGUAGAUAUUAGAAAGAAUACCAAUUGCGAAGGCAGCUUUCUGGAUCAUUACUGACACUGAGGAACGAAAGCAUGGGUAGCGAAGAGGAUUAGAUACCCUCGUAGUCCAUGCCGUAAACGAUGUGUGUUAGACGUUGGAAAUUUAUUUUCAGUGUCGCAGCGAAAGCGAUAAACACACCGCCUGGGGAGUACGACCGCAAGGUUAAAACUCAAAUGAAUGACGG
rnacentral:rRNA from 1 species